UAGGGAAUAUUAGAAAUGGACGAAAGUCUGAUCUAGCAACACCGCGUGUGCGAAGAAGGCCUUCGGGUUGUAAAGCACUUUUUGGAAGGAUUAGGAAGGAAUGUACUUCCAGAAUAAGUCUCGGCUAACUACGUGCAAGCAGCCGCGGUAACACGUAGGAGGCAAACGUUAUCCGGAUUUACUGGGCGUAAAGCGCGUGUAGGUGGUUCUGUAAGUAGGGCGUGAAAGCUCCUGGCUCAACUGGGAGAGGCCGUUCUAAACUGCAGAGCUAGAGGAUGGUAGAGGGAGGUGGAAUUGCGUGUGUAGCGGUGGAAUGCGCAGAUAUCCGGAGGAACACCAGUGGCGAAAGCGGCCUCCUGGACCGUUCCUGACACUCAGGUGCGAAAGCGUGGGUAGCAAACG
rnacentral:rRNA from 1 species